UAAAGAAGCAAACGCUAGGGUCAAGUUGUCUCAAGCCCCUCAUUUCAAGCCUCAGCCCUUCUCUUUUCGUGCCUCCGAAUCCCGCGGGUCGGGACAUUAAAGGAGUCAGACAAUAGGAUAGAAGCACUUCCAGAAUGACAAAGAUCUCUGAAAAUCUACUCCUCCAUAAAAGUAACAAGAACACUGGCAAAAGUUGUCGAAAUCAACUUUUUCAGAACUCUGAAAAGUAAUCAAAGGCUUGCUAAACUUCAAGGAAGAUUUAUCCAAGGAAAACAGCUGAAUCUAGUAAGAAUCUAGGGCAAAGUGUGAAUGCAGUCC